CGGAUUUCUUUCGGCCGGGUGGCCUUGCCGCUUACAGAGCUUAUCUGUUUUGAUGCAACUCAAGUUGUACGUAUGCGGUCUUUUAUGUGGUUUGUUGAUGUAACUCAAGUUGUACGUACGCGCCAUCUUUUACAGCCAAGUGGCCUUUCCACGUGCAACUUUGUACAAAAAUGCCGGAGAUUGCACAAUUCCCUUGGUAAUUCGAAGUGCACGUUGC
rnacentral:lncRNA from 1 species